AUGCUUUACCGUCUGAGCCACAUUCUCCUAUGUGAAGUCAAGUGGGUCUUAGAAAGCAUCAGUACGAACAAAGCUAGUGGAGGUGAUGGAAUUCCAGUUGAGCUAUUUCAAAUCCUGAAAGAUGAUGCUGUGAAAGUGCUGCACUCAGUAUGCCAGGACUGGAAAAGAUCAGUUUUCAUUCCAGUCACAAAGAAAGGCAAUGCCAAAAAAUGCUCAAACUACUGCAUAAUUGCACUCAUCUCACGCACUAGUAAAGUAAUGCCCAAGAUUCUCCAAGCCACGCUUCAGCAAUACGUGAACCGUGAACUUCCUGAUGUUCAAGCUGGUUUUAGAAAAGGCAGAGGAACCAGAGAUCAAAUUGCCAACAUCUGCUGGAUCAUCGAACAAGCAAGAGAGUUCCAGAAAAACAUCUAUUUCUGCUUUAUUGACUAUGCCAAAGCCUUUGACUGUGUGGAUCACAAUCAACUGUGGAAAAUUCUGAAAGAGAUGGGAAUGCCAGACCACCUGACCUGCCUCUUGAGAAACCUAUAUGCAGGUCAGGAAGCAACAGUUAGAACUGGACAUGGAACAACAGACUGGUUCCAAAUAGGAAAAGGAGAGGGUCAAGGCUGUAUAUUGUCACCCUGCUUAUUUAACCUCUAUGCAGAGUACAUCGUGAGAAACGCUGGACUGGAAGAAGCACAAGCUGGAAUCAAGAUUGCUGGGAGAAAUAUCAAUAACCUCAGAUAUGCAGAUGACACCACCCUUGUGGCAGAAAGUGAAGAGGAACUCAAAAGCCUCUUGAUGAAAGUGAAAGAGGAGAGUGAAAAAGUUGGCUUAAAGCUCAACUUUCAGAAAACAAAGAUCAUGGCAUCCGGUCCCAUCACUUCAUGGGAAAUAGAUGAGGAAACAGUAGAAACAGUGUCAGACUUUAUUUUUUUGGGCUCCAGAAUCACUGCAGAUUGUGAUUGCAGCCAUGAAAUGAAAAGACGCUUACUCCUUGGAAGAAAAGUUAUGACAAACCUAGAUAGCAUAUUCAAAAGCAGAGAUGUUACUUUGCCAGCAAAGGUCCGUCUAGUCAAGGCUAUGAUUUUUCCAUUGGUCAUGUAUGGAUGUGAGAGUUGGACUGUGAAGAAAGCUGAGUGCUGA
rnacentral:lncRNA from 1 species